rnacentral:ribozyme from 1 species
UAUCAUUGAGAUCGUGGACAACUCGAUCAAGUACGGCAGCAAACGGCAAAUCAGCAAACGCACAUUUGAGUUCAAGUGGAACUCGUAUACGUGCAUCAUGAGCAAGUCGCUCAAGACCAUCUUGGAUGUGACGCUGUCGACGGAUGCCGAGAUCAUCACGGUGCACCCUGACGUGGUCUCCAUCAUCAGUAAGAAGUGCCCGCAAUUGG